ACUCCUACGGGAGGCAGCAGUGGGGAAUAUUGCACAAUGGGCGCAAGCCUGAUGCAGCCAUGCCGCGUGUGUGAAGAAGGCCUUCGGGUUGUAAAGCACUUUCAGUUGUGAGGAAGGUGGUGUCGUUAAUAGCGGCAUCAUUUGACGUUAGCAACAGAAGAAGCACCGGCUAACUCCGUGCCAGCAGCCGCGGUAAUACGGAGGGUGCGAGCGUUAAUCGGAAUUACUGGGCGUAAAGCGCAUGCAGGUGGUUUGUUAAGUCAGAUGUGAAAGCCCGGGGCUCAAGCCUCGGAACUGCAUUUGAAACUGGCAGACUAGAGUACUGUAGAGGGGUGAGAAGGUUUCA
rnacentral:rRNA from 1 species